CAACGAUAAAGGCAAACUUUCCGAAAGGAAAGGACGCAAAGCCAAAGGGUCUAACCGCGAAAGCGAAUGACAGCCGAGCUACCGAA
rnacentral:ncRNA from 1 species